rnacentral:rRNA from 1 species
UACGUAGGUGGCAAGCGUUGUCCGGAAUUACUGGGUGUAAAGGGUGCGUAGGCGGGUAUGCAAGUCAGAUGUGAAAUACCGGGGCUCAACCCCGGGGCUGCAUUUGAAACUGUAUAUCUUGAGUGCAGGAGAGGAAAGCGGAAUUCCUAGUGUAGCGGUGAAAUGCGUAGAGAUUAGGAGGAACACCAGUGGCGAAGGCGGCUUUCUGGACUGUAACUGACGCUGAGGCACGAAAGCGUGGGGAG